GGGCCCACCCUCGCGCCGCCCGCCCGCGCUCAGCCGGUCCUCGGGCGAGGGCGCACCGGGCAGGCGGCGGGCGAGGGCAUGGGCGGCGGCGGCGGCUCCGGAGCCGGAGGUGGGCGCGCGCGGAUGCGGGUCUCGGCGCGGCUCGGCCCGGAGCCUGGCUCUCAAGUGGGAGGACGACAGGGAGGAGGAGAAGGAGAAAAUAGGACGGAAGCCUGGGGCUGCUGGUGGCCAUCUCUUGGGAAGAGCCGACCUGAGUAUGAAGCCAACAGGGAAGAAAGCAGAGGGAUGGGACAGCAAAAUGCUUCUGGCGACAACAUUUGAGCAUCUAGAUCAAGCCGUGCCUGACUUUUUGCUACUUCUCAGUUUUUCGUUUGCAUGAGCUGAUAAUUUUUAAGAAUUAAAGAAAAUUGAUUAUGGUAAUGGUUGCACAACUAUGCACACUAAAACCACUGAAUUGAACAUCUUAAAUGGGCAAAUCAUAUGAGACCCAGGCUGAGCAAGGCUCUAUUUUGGCACAUGCUUCAAAAUCACCAAGGCAAGGAAUAAAGAACGGCUAGAGCGAGACACUAGAAAUUAAAUGAUUUGGCCUGCAAGUGACAAACCUGGAAGAUCAGACUUCCCUGUGCUGGGAAGGACAGGAGAACAUGAUGGCAGUAAGAAGCUCUAAUGACUGUCUUGACAAAUGGUUCCUACAGAAUGGCACUAGCUCUGUGUAUUACAGCCUCUCUCCUCCUCUCUGUUACAGAUAUUGAUUGUUUUGGCCAGCCAUGCAUCCAUUCCCCUUCUGGGAACA